rnacentral:rRNA from 1 species
UGGGGAAUCUUGGACAAUGGGGGCAACCCUGAUCCAGCCAUGCCGCGUGAGUGAUGAAGGCCUUAGGGUCGUAAAGCUCUUUCGCCUGUGAAGAUAAUGACGGUAGCAGGUAAAGAAACCCCGGCUAACUCCGUGCCAGCAGCCGCGGUAAUACGGAGGGGGUUAGCGUUGUUCGGAAUUACUGGGCGUAAAGCGCACGUAGGCGGACCAGAAAGUUGGGGGUGAAAUCCCGGGGGCUCAACCCCGGAACUGCCUCCAAAACUAUUGGUCUAGAGUUCGAGAGAGGUGGUGGAAUUCCAAGUGUAGAGGUGAAAUUCGUAGAUAUUUGGAGGAACACCAGUGGCGAAGGCGGCUCACUGGCUCGAUACUGACGCUGAGGUGCGAAAGUGUGGGGAGCAAACAGGAUUAGAUACCCUGGUAGUCCACACCGUAAAACGAUGAAUGCCAGUCGUCGGGUAGCAUGCUAUUCGGUGACACACCUAACGGAUUAAGCAUUCCGCCUGGGGAGUACGGUCGCAAGAUUAAAA